rnacentral:rRNA from 1 species
UACAGAGGUGGCAAGCGUUGUUCGGAAUUACUGGGCGUAAAGGGCGCGUAGGCGGCCUUCUAAGUCAGACGUGAAAUCCCCCGGCUUAACCUGGGAACUGCGUCUGAUACUGGGAGGCUUGAGUAUGGGAGAGGGAUGUAGAAUUCCAGGUGUAGCGGUGAAAUGCGUAGAUAUCUGGAGGAAUACCGGUGGCGAAGGCGGCAUCCUGGACCGGUAUUGACGCUGAGGCGCGAAAGCCAGGGGAGCAAACGGGG